AACGAACGCUGGCGGCAUGCCUAACACAUGCAAGUCGAACGAGCCCUUCGGGUCUCCUGGCGCGCGGGUGCGUAACGCGUGGGAACCUGCCCGUAGGUUCGGAAUCACUCCCCGAAAGGCGUCCUAAUACCGGAUAAUUUCUCCGGCCCAAAGCUUUAUCGCCCUUGGGUGGGCCCGCGGCGGCUCAGCUAGUUGGUAGGGUAAAAGCCCACCAAGGCGACGAUCCAUAGCUGGUCUGAGAGGAGGCUCAGCCCCACUGGGACUGCGACACGGCCCAGACUCCUACGGGAGGCAGCAGAGGGGAAUAUUGGACAAUGGGCGCAAGCCUGAUCCAGCAAGGCCGGGUGAGUGAUGAAGGGGUUAGGGUUGUAAAGAUCUUUUACCCGGGAUGAUAAUGACAGUACCGGGAGAAUAAGCGACGGCGACCUCCGU
rnacentral:rRNA from 1 species